UGAUGUGACACCGACGCUCUGUUGGAGGUUCCACUGUAGUAGGCUUCGCCCCCAUUUUAGGGCCACUUUGGGGCGACUGACUGACGAACUGACGAACUGACGGACUGACUGAGUGACGGAGUGACGCGACGAGUGGAUGACUGACUGAUUGCAUGACAAACUAACGAAACUAACGAAUCAAGCGACGCGACGGACCGAACGACCGAUGCCAAACACUCAAAACAAAAAAAGAGAUAUAUACACAAGCGCACAUAUGGAUAUGGACACUCAGACACUCAGAAACAACAAGACGAGAACAGGAGACCUCUUAAAAGGCAGACCUCUAUCCAUCCAUAGAGUAUAUGAGUAUAUGGCAGCAUAGAAACGGCAGAAGCGGAGGAAGAAACACAAUAAUGGACUCGAGACCCAGGGCCUGAUUGAAGGGCUCCCGACCAACAACAACAAAAACAACACCAUCGACAGCAACAACAGCAAGAAAAACACGGCUGUGUGAUUCGAUUUCGAUCGAUGUUGUGGUGCGCGACACUGUCGAGAAAACCGAGUGGAUUUGGUGGACAGGAACGACAGCGAUAUCUUGGCUUGUUGUCAGGUCGAAUAGUGCUCACGUUCAUGUGGUGUCAAGUGCUCCGACAUUGGGGCAAACACCAUUAAAAAAUGGUCAAAAAUCUAAAAUAAUGUAAAACUGAAAAUAGCAAAGGAAAAUUACCCUGAA